CCUACGGGGGGCAGCAGUGGGGAAUAUUGCACAAUGGGGGAAACCCUGAUGCAGCGACGCAGCGUGAGUGAAGAAGUAUUUCGGUAUGUAAAGCUCUAUCUGCAGGGAAGAAAAACGACGGUACCUGACUAAGAAGCACCGGCUACCUACGUGCCAGCCGCCGCGGUAAUACGUAGGGGGCAAGCGUGAUCCGGAGUUACUGGGUGUAAAGGGAGCGUAGACGGCGCGGCAAGUCUGAAGUGAAAGGCAGGGGCUUAACCCCUGAACUGCUUUGGAACCUGCCAUGCAGAGUGCUGGAGAGGUAAGUGGAAUGCCGAGUGUAGCGGUGAAAUGCGUAGAUAUUAGGAGGAACACCAGUGGCGAAGGCAGCUUACUGGACAGUAACUGACGUUGAGGCUCGAAAGCGUGGGGAGCAAACAGGAUUAGAUACCCCAGUAGUC
rnacentral:rRNA from 1 species